rfam:Oryza sativa Japonica Group DNA, chromosome 4, cultivar: Nipponbare, complete sequence.
AAAAAGAUAAACCCUAGGUUUCCGUGUCGAACGUUUGAUAGCCCGUCUUAUAUAAAUUUUAUUUUUAUAAUUAAUAUUUUCAUUGUUGUUAGAUGAUAAAACAUGAUUAAUACUUUAUGCGUGAUUUGUCUUUUUAAUUUUUUUCAUAAUUUUUUUAAAUAAGACGGACGGUGAACCCAGAGUUUAUU